GAUGAACGCUGGCGGCGUGCCUAAUACAUGCAAGUCGAGCGAACAGGCGAGGAGCUUGCUCCUCUGACGUUAGCGGCGGACGGGUGAGUAACACGUGGAUAACCUACCUAUAAGAUUGGGAUAACUUCGGGAAACCGGAGCUAAUACCGGAUAAUAUAUUGAACCGCAUGGUUCAAUAGUGAAAGACGGUUUUGCUGUCACUUAUAGAUGGAUCCGCGCCGCAUUAGCUAGUUGGUAAGGUAACGGCUUACCAAGGCAACGAUGCGUAGCCGACCUGAGAGGGUGAUCGGCCACACUGGAACUGAGACACGGUCCAGACUCCUACGGGAGGCAGCAGUAGGGAAUCUUCCGCAAUGGGCGAAAGCCUGACGGAGCAACGCCGCGUGAGUGAUGAAGGUCUUCGGAUCGUAAAACUCUGUUAUUAGGGAAGAACAAAUGUGUAAGUAACUAUGCACGUCUUGACGGUACCUAAUCAGAAAGCCACGGCUAACUACGUG
rnacentral:rRNA from 1 species